rnacentral:rRNA from 1 species
UGGGGAAUAUUGCACAAUGGGCGAAAGCCUGAUGCAGCGACGCCGCGUGAGGGAUGACGGCCUUCGGGUUGUAAACCUCUUUCAGUAGGGACGAAGCGCAAGUGACGGUACCUGCAGAAGAAGCACCGGCUAACUACGUGCCAGCAGCCGCGGUAAUACGUAGGGUGCGAGCGUUGUCCGGAAUUACUGGGCGUAAAGAGCUCGGAGGCGGUUUGUCACGUCGUCUGUGAAAUCCUAGGGCUUAACCCUGGACGUGCAGGCGAUACGGGCUGACUUGAGUACUACAGGGGAGACUGGAAUUUCUGGUGUAGCGGUGGAAUGCACAGAUAUCAGGAAGAACACCGAUGGCGAAGGCAGGUCUCUGGGUAGUAACUGACGCUGAGGAGCGAAAGCAUGGGUAGCGAACAGG